UCCUCAUUGUUCUUCCUGUCAAAUUACUAUUAAAUGUAAGUGUAAACUGAUGAUUUGCAUCCUCUGUACUGAAGAUUAUUUCUUGUUUAUUUUCUUAAACUGCAAAGGCCUUAUCUUGUGUGUGUUAAUAUGUUACCUUGGAUAUUAAUUUUGGUAUAGGUUUGUUGCGCAAAAACUCACUUGUUGAAUUUUCUCAAGUAACAUCUGGUAACCAUAUCAAGUAACGGAGAAACAUAUUCUAGUUUCCAGCAAGACGUCGUUGAUUUGCUUAUAUCCAGUUCUGCUAUUAAUUUACUGAAGCAUGUUCCUCUAUAUUGUGCUGGUCUCAUAUAGAUUUGGCAAAGUAUAAUUUCUUCAAAUUGUGAAGUGAAACCUAAUGUGGAAACUCUAGUAUUGUAGUAUGUUUCUGCCUAUUGUGCUCGCCUUAUACAUAUUUGCCGAAAAUAGCAUGUACAUAAAGGAAACUAGAUGAAGAAAGUUAACUAUCUGUUUUGAACAUUGGUACAUUCAGACCCUUAAUCUAAUACUAUCCUUCUUAUCCUGGUCAAUAUCAAAUACUCUUACUUAUCUUGGUCGAUACAAAUAAAUUGCCGUACUAUUUAUUUCAUAAGCUACUGAUCCACUAAUUAUCUAGAUGACUAAGAACAUUGGUAACAUUCACACCCUUAAUCUAAUAAGUAUCCUUCUUAUCCUGAUCGAUAUUAAGUACUCUUACUUAUCAUGGUUGAUACAAAUAUACUGUCGUACUAUUUAUUUCAUAAGCUACUGAUUCACUAAUUAUCUAGAUAACAUCCUUGUUCUCCUGGGCUUUGCUUUCCAUACUUCAUCUUCAUCUUCAAGCAUUGUAUUUUUGGCCUUUUGUCCUUUUGUUCAGGCAUAUUCGUCUCAGUGCAUUCAUCCUCUGAGCUAUCUGAUAUUGCAACAGAUCUAAGUCUCCUUUUAUUGCCACUUCGGAGCACACGUGAUGACGAUGAUACUUUGUCUUGACGCUUAUCUUUGUUUAAUGUAGUCCCAUUGCUAUCAUUUGGCUCCUCUUUCACAGGCACCCGUUCGCAUGAAAGUUCGCCAGGUGAAACUUUAUUAUUCUUUGACUGCAAUCAUAUAGAAUUUCAAAAUUAGACACAUCUCUAAAAUCUGAAGUUUGUAUAUAGUUUUAAAAAAUCAUUCACCUUUCUAUCCGGCAUGUUCUGCUUCUUCAUUAACACGGUGUCAACUUCAUCAUCCAUCAGUUCCUGUGCAACAUAUGUAAGAUGAAUUAGUUAAGGAAUUCUGAAAAUGGUAAAAAUUUAAUGCGACUUUACCUCCUCGGCUUUAUUGUCCAAGUAGAGCAUCUCAACCUUAGCAUUAGGCACAAAUGUUCUUUUUACUGCAUAGUUUUGUGUGCCGAAUGUGAGAUUACUAUCAUUGAGCCUUAACCGAAAUAUAAGUCUUUUUCCACAUAAUUGUUGAAUAAUCUUUGGCGCUUCUUCCGAUUUCCCAUCUAGUGUGUCCAGCAACUUAGAUGCAGAUGUAUUAAGAAAUCUUGCAGCCUCCUCGUCAAAUAAAGUGCAACUUGUAGUAGAUGUAUGGUCACUAAUUUGGAGUCGAACACGGUACCUAACAUACAACUCAUGUUAGUGGAGAGUAAAUAUAAUAUAACAGUUGUUCAUAUUUUAGUAACAUAAUAUGCUUACCGAGGUGCGACCUUCUCUGGAUAUAUACCACAACUGUUGCAAUAAUACUUGUCGGUUUCUUUGGUAGCCAAUUUGUGACACUUAUCACAUGACAUGUACCACCAUUGAAUAUUUUCUUGCAAACGAUCUACUAUUGCUAUUGCUGCCAAUCUGAGAAGUUAGUGCACAUGAGGGAGGUUUGGUUAAAUUUGAGACAUCCAUAUGCAUAUGCACUUACUCUGGCAUUAGGAUUUCAAUCUCGCGGAGAUAUGAAGGUUGUGGGUUCUUCUUUGUUAUUCUUGUCUCCACAGGCUUCAUUUGUGUUAGUAGUCCAAUGACAUCUGUAUAUUUGUAUAUUAGUGAUAUAACAAUUAGAAAUAACAAUUAUUUGGAAGUCAAAAUUACAACUGUAAACAUACUUGAGCAUUGUGUAUCUUUUUCUGCCCUUUCUUCUAGUGUGUCCAUGGUAGCAAACUCGAAGCAAUAAUCUGGAAAAACUUCUGAAGAUCCUUUUAUCUCCUUUACCUUUGUAUUGUAUGCAAAAAAUAUUUGAAUUUCAUUGCUCACUGGCCUAUAUUUUGUGGAUUCCACAACCUUAAAAUUGUUGAAUGCAUAAACUGAUUUCUCAAUGAUUUUUGAUCUAAAAGUAUCUAUAAGAUUCUUCCAGAUAGUAGCAUGGAUUGAUUCACCCUGUCGAAAGAAUCAAAUAUGUUUAGUAAUUGUUGCUUCAUCUGACAGAAAAGUUCCAAUUAAUAUAUUAAAAAAAAGACCUGCUCAUCCAUCAGUAUCAUAUCUAGGCUAAUAAGAUCAUCGGUUGUAGGAUUGACUGAAUCCCACAUUCUCAUUACUUUCACUUGAAUGUUUCAAUUCUGUCCCCUUGUAGUUAAGUCGCUCAACUUCUUGUAUGCCAUAGUGUUAUGUCUUCAAAAUUAACAGGGAACAAUUUGUCAGUUGAAAUAGUAUUUAUGAAGAUUCUAUCUAGAAAAAGUAAGCUUACUAAAUAACAAUUACCAAUCUGAUGAUGCAGACCGAAAGUGGUUUCGGGUCACUUCUUCCGACGUUGAUUGGAGCAGUUGGGCGUAACUUCAUCGGGCGUCGAGUGUGCUUUGGCGUGACUUCGUCGGAAGUCGAUUGAAGCGGCUGGAGGUGGCUUUUGGUGUGGACGUCGAGUCGCGUGUGGCUUGUUCAAGUCGUGGUUGCUGACUUCUAACUGUUUGGUGGUUGCUUGUCCGGCCGGCUAUACUUAUAUAAUGGGUUGUGUUGAGGUGUCUUGGGUUGAGGUGGCUGAGACCGUGUGGAGAUCAGAUUGUGAAAUUGUCUGUAUUUGUUUCUGUUUUGGAACUUUCCUCGCGUGGUCUGGUGGUUGUCCUUAUUUUGUUUAGGUUCCUUAUUUGUUUAGGUUUGACUAUUAUUUUUUCUUAUCCUUGACCCAUUGAUGGAAAGAUAUUUUUUAUUUGUGCGGGCUAGUUGAUGUUCGAUGGACAUGGAUGUUUUUUUAACUUGUGUGCACUAUUUGCACGUGCCAUGUUGUAAUAGUUGUACGUGCACAUAUUUUUUGACGUAACAUUUGCAUCUUUUAAUCUCAGCUAUCAAUAAAUAAAUCGAAGGAUCAAGAAAAUUUAAUCUAUGUGGACGCACGUGAUGUCUUGUUUGACUUCUGUUUUAAUUAAAUAAUAAUAAUAGAUAAUAGAUAGAUUUAGGUGGCUUUGGAAGAGUUGAUGGGAGUAAAAAAACAUGCACAUGCAGACACGUGGGGAGCUGGGGUAGUCUUCUGGAUUUGGAGAAGUGCCGAUUUUCAAGGACAUGCGGGGAGCUGGGGCAGUAGAGCAGUGCCGCUUUCGAAGAACUUAUACCUGAG
rnacentral:lncRNA from 1 species